rnacentral:rRNA from 1 species
ACGAACCGUGCGAACGUUGUUCGGAAUCACUGGGCUUAAAGGGCGCGUAGGCGGUUGAUCAAGUCUGGGGUGAAAUCUUUCGGCUUAACCGGAAAAGUGCCUUGGAUACUGGUCAGCUGGAGGGAGGUAGGGGCAGUUGGAACUUCCAGUGGAGCGGUGAAAUGCGUUGAUAUUGGAAGGAACGCCGGUGGCGAAAGCGAGCUGCUGGACCUCUUCUGACGCUGAGGCGCGAAAGCUAGGGGAGCAAACGGG